rnacentral:rRNA from 1 species
GAUGAACGCUGGCGGCGUGCCUAAUACAUGCAAGUCGAGCGAACGGACGAGAAGCUUGCUUCUCUGAUGUUAGCGGCGGACGGGUGAGUAACACGUGGAUAACCUACCUAUAAGACUGGGAUAACUUCGGGAAACCGGAGCUAACACCGGAUAAUAUUUUGAACCGCAUGGUUCAACAGUGAAAGACGGUCUUGCUGUCACUUAUAGAUGGAUCCGCGCUGCAUUAGCUAGUUGGUAAGGUAACGGCUUACCAAGGCAACGAUGCAUAGCCGACCUGAGAGGGUGAUCGGCCACACUGGAACUGAGACACGGUCCAGACUCCUACGGGAGGCAGCAGUAGGGAAUCUUCCGCAAUGGGCGAAAGCCUGACGGAGCAACGCCGCGUGAGUGAUGAAGGUCUUCGGAUCGUAAAACUCUGUUAUUAGGGAAGAACAUAUGUGUAAGUAACUGUGCACAUCUUGACGGUACCUAAUCAGAAAGCCCCGGCUAACUACGUG